rnacentral:misc_RNA from 1 species
AUUAUUAUUAUUAUUAUUAUUAAAUUGAAAGUUGUGUGUUUCUUUUGUGAUUGGCUGCUACUUAUAAACCAUCUGCCAUUUGAUGAAGUUUUUGGAUUCCCCUUCUAGACGUGGGUGAUGCAAUCCCUAGUUCCUGAUGCUUUUGACAAAUGGUUUUUGUAACAUAUAUAACCAUUGCUUCUUUCUUUCUUUUCUUUUUCCCUAAGUCUCUUUAGGUUGACUGCUCAUUCUUAGAACAGAAUUUGUUAUUUCAUUGAUACUGUUAUCUUGUUCGCGAUGCUAUGCAAAGAUGGUCUGCUAUUUUGUUUACUCCACUCUGACAAGUCAUAAAACUAUGAAUGCAAAUGCAGGAUAUUAUAAUGCAAUGGACUAUUUAUUAUUGUUAUUUUCAUUUUUAUAUUGUUAAUCUUUUGGCGAUGUGGAGUGAUAUUGUCACCAAACUUGUUUAGUUUUUUAACCAAAUAAAAAAAAAUCCCUUGUUGUUUGUGUAAUUUUAGCAAGUGUUUCCUACGAUUUUUACAUCUCUGUUGCAUGAUUCUUAAAGGCUUCCUUGUUGAUUUAUUAAUUUAGCAAGUGUUUCCUAUGAUUUUUACAACUCUGUUGCAUGAUUUUUAAAGGCUUCUUUGUUGAUUGAGUAAUUUAGCAAGUAUUUCCAAUAAUUUUUUACAUCUUUGUUGUACGAUUCUUAAAGGCUUGAGCAACAUUUGAUUUUGAACCAAUGUAUGGUUAUUAUUGUUGCAAAACAAAUGAAUGCUAUUUUUUCUUCCUCAGAAUGUAGGAUUUUCUUGUGUUGCCCUUGUGUCGUGAGGCUAAAAUUUCUAGGAUGAUCACAUGUCGUGAGUAUGUCGAAACACAGUAUGUACUCUGUACCAAGUUGUUCAGGCCCAAAUAUGACCAAAAGAUUUUAGGGAAUCCUCCAUAUGAAGAUUAAUUUCCAAAAGAAAUUUUCUUCAUUAGAGAAAAGUUCUAGAGCAUUUUACUUCUGUCUUUGAAGUGCGCAUUUGGUAAUUAUACCUCUGGCUAGGUAGAGCAAUUGGAAAAUUGGGUUGAUUAUUGUUAUCACCAAGUGCCCUGUUCUACUCCUUUGAUUAGACCUGGAACCAUUCUGUCCAUUUUAGGGAACUAGGUCAUUAUUCUCCCUCUUUUGUGCUAAGUGGGUCAUUAUCCUUUCUUUAAGUUGAAAAGUGAUGCUACCAUGUGUCCCUUUGACCAGUUUGAUGAUGAUGUAAGUUUGCAACAUACAAAGAUGGUGAGGUCAGUGGCCUAUGGCUAACUAUUCCGACGCUCAAGUCAGUAAUUUGUUGAGAGAGUAAGAGAGCAAUGAUAGAGUGCAGUAAAAAUGUUAGUAGACUAAGCGCACCUGGUUUGUGGUGUAAUUUUGGUAUUUAUAGACUGAAAGACUGAUAGCCGUUGUAGGUAGUUUCGAAAAUCUCACAUGUUUGUGCUUGGUUUGUGCUUGACACUUAGUCAUGCGGGUAACUUGGCUAUUUGACUCUUUGACCGAGCCAUCUUGACCAUGUGACUCAAUUUUAUGGGUGAGCUAUAUAAAAAACUAUCAUAACAACUUGACUUGUCAUGUAAGGAAUGUGUCUGCAAGUUUUAAGGAAGCACUUAUCCUUUUUAGUUGUUACUGUUCUUUCUGCUAGUUCUCUUAUUGUUAUUCUAUAGCUUUACAUGUACCUCUUAUUGAAGCCUAUUGCCUAGAGCUAGUAAAUUCAAGGGUAACGAGAUUUUAUAUGGUUUGGCUGUGCCUGCAUUUAUGAAGUCGAUUUUCUUUUGCAAUGAAUAUAUAUAUAUUUAACUGCCUUAUUAAUCCUGGUUUUGAGUUAUGGGAGAAAAUGUGGAAUUAGAAGAAUGCUACCAUAAAUAAGAAGUCUUGUGUCAACAGGACCUUUUAUUUUUUGCCUUCAGCUUUUUCAUACAACAUCUUUCCUGAAUAUGAGCCAUAAAGUCAACAAGGUCACAUGUUUAUUCUGAUGUGAAGUAAAUGUCUCAGUGAUCUUGUUUUUAGCUUUCUUUUGUGUUUGGUAUCUGAGUUGUAUCUAUGUUUCUUGAAUUACCUAUACAGGCAAGGAUUUUAGCACUGAAUGCUUCAUACUUUCUGAAGGCUGGUGGCCAUUUUGUUAUUUCAAUAAAGGCAAAUUGCAUCGACUCUACUGUUCCUGCAGAGGCUGUAUUUGAAAGUGAAGUAAAGAAGAUGAUACAGGAGCAGUUCAAGCCUACUGAACAGGUCACGCUUGAGCCAUUUGAGCGAGACCAUGCUUGUGUUAUUGGUGGUUACCGAAUGCCAAAGAAACAGAAAACUGCUGCUUAGCAAAGUUACAUUGUACUGCAAAAAAAGUAGGGAUUUGCUUUAAACGAAAAUGUUUGAGGGUAAACCAUUUUCACAUAUUAUUUUUCCUGAAAUCUACUAGCUUUAUAGAUUUUAUUAUUUGUUGAUAAUAGUUGGGAUGGAAUUAAUUGAUUUCUUUUUAACAGGGAUAUUACUAAUAAUAUUUAUCUAAUAUCAUCCAAUGAUUCUAGGCAUUGGGUUAGUUAUGGAACUUGCAAGUACAGAUCGUAGGAUAAUAAUUUUUGCAUUAUUGUCAUUGGGUAGUAUAAUAAUAUGUUUUUGGAAGUU